rnacentral:rRNA from 1 species
UACGUAGGGCGCAAGCGUUGUCCGGAAUUAUUGGGCGUAAAGAGCUCGUAGGCGGCUUGUCACGUCGAUUGUGAAAGCCCGAGGCUUAACCUCGGGUCUGCAGUCGAUACGGGCUAGCUAGAGUGUGGUAGGGGAGAUCGGAAUUCCUGGUGUAGCGGUGAAAUGCGCAGAUAUCAGGAGGAACACCGGCGGCGAAGGCGGGUCUCUGGGCCAUAACUGACGCUGAGGAGCGAAAGCGUGGGGAGCGAACAGG